GAGUUUGAUCCUGGCUCAGAAUGAACGUUGGCGGCGUGGAUUAGGCAUGCAAGUCGAGCGGGUAUAGCAAUAUAUCAGCGGCGAAAGGGAGAGUAACGCGUAGCUACGUACCCCGGAGUCCAGAAUAGCCAGCCGAAAGGCUGGGUAAUGCUGGAUGAUGUCUCCGGACUAAAGGUGUGAUUCCGCUUUGGGAGCGGGCUGCGUUGUACUAGCUUGUUGGUGGGGUAAUGGCCUACCAAGGCGAUGAUGCAUACCGGGCGUGAGAGCGUGGCCCGGCUCACUGGGACUGAGACACUGCCCAGACACCUACGGGUGGCUGCAGUCGAGAAUCUUCGGCAAUGAGCGCAAGCUUGACCGAGCGACGCCGCGUGCGGGAUGAAGGCCUUCGGGUUGUAAACCGCGAAAGUAGGGAGGAAAUUGCUAGGGGUUCUCCCCUAGUAUUGACCUAUCUUCAGUAAGGACGGGCUAAGUUCGUGCCAGCAGCCGCGGUAAUACGAACCGUCCAAACGUUAUUCGGAUUUAUUGGGCUUAAAGGGUAUGUAGGCGGCCCUUCAAGUCGGGUGUGAAAGCCCUCGGCUCAACCGAGGAACUGCGCCCGAUACUGUAGGGCUUGAGGGAGACAGAGGUAAGCGGAACUGAUGGUGGAGCGGUGAAAUGCGUUGAUAUCAUCAGGAACACCAGUGGCGAAAGCGGCUUACUGGGUCUCUUCUGACGCUGAGAUACGAAAGCUAGGGGAGCGAACGGGAUUAGAUACCCCGGUAGUCCUAGCGGUAAACGAUGAGCACUUGAUCGUGGGGCCCCCACAUAGCCUCUCGGUCGCAGCGAAAGUGGUAAGUGCUCCGC
rnacentral:rRNA from 1 species